AAGUGAUUUUAUUCAUUGAUCUUCUGAGCUUAUACAUACUACAUACAAAUGACACUAACACCCUCAUAUAUACUAAUUACAACCAUACCCUCUAACAGCCCUAAAAACUUAAACUGAAAGGAAGACAUGUGCUUAAUAAUUUAAUUUAAAUUUUAAUACUCUUGCUCAUGUGUGGGCAGGCUUCUACUAAAUAAGUGGAUCCAAGAAGUGAGAUAUCUAUUUGAAAUGAGGUGAAGUGUGAAUUUAAAGUUUGAAGUUGAGAACUUUGUUACGAUAUUUUAUUAGAUCACUGUUUAUUCCAAAAGCUUAAAUAGAUAAGAAUGUUAUUUUAAUCAUAUAAUCUCUCUUCUACAAGAGUGAACAGAUUGAUCCAAACUGGUUUUCAAAACUUCUGAUGUCAAAGACAUGUCCCUUUGGAAAGAGGCUAUGAAAUGACAUCAGGUCAAAUGUGUUGAAGUUGUCAUGUAGAUUGGCUUAUGUGUUCUAAGCUCUAGGAACUGUUUCUUUUUAAUCUUUUUUUUUUUUUUUUUAAUAAGAAAAGUGUUUAUAGUAUAUAUAGUAAUUAAAGAUUUAGAAAAAUGGGAUAGGAAGUUGUUGCUGAAUCUGUCUUCUUCAACUUAUCACUAAUAUGUUAUGACAAAGAUUUUAGGGCUGGACAUCUGUGUUGACACAUUGGUGGGGGAUUAAAAGCUCAAGGGUAUUUCUGGGGGACAAAAGAAGCAGCUUACAACAGGUGAAUUGCUGGUUGGUCCAGCAGGAGUGCUAUACAUGGAUGAAAUAUCAACUGGGCUUGAUAGUUCUACUACCUAUCAGAUCAUCAAAUAUCUCAAGCAUUCAACUUGUGCACUUGAAGCCACCACUGUAAUUUCUCUGCUUCAACCAGCUCCUGAGACCUACGAGUUGUUUGAUGAUGUCAUACUUUUAUGUGAGGGCCAUAUUGUAUACCAAGGACCUUGUGAUGCUGCUCUUGAGUUCUUUGCAUUUAUGGGUUUUGGUUGCCCAGAGCGAAAGAAUGUGGCAGACUUCUUGCAAGAAGUAGUGGAGAACUUUAGUCUAGUGGUCAUCAAAUGAGUAGUCAAGCAUAUUGAAGUCUAUUUUUUAUGAGUAUGUGUGCUUUGGCGGGUGCUACAGGUACUUUUUUUUUUUUCAAACUUGAUGGAGUUCAGUGAACUUCAUAAUCUUAGCAAGUAAUCUGAGUGUUCCAACUUCCCCAGUUGAU